rnacentral:rRNA from 1 species
GACGAACGCUGGCGGCGUGCUUAACACAUGCAAGUCGAACGAAGAGCGAUGGAAGCUUGCUUCUAUCAAUCUUAGUGGCGAACGGGUGAGUAACGCGUAAUCAACCUGCCCUUCAGAGGGGGACAACAGUUGGAAACGACUGCUAAUACCGCAUACGAUCUAACCUCGGCAUCGAGGAUAGAUGAAAGGUGGCCUCUACAUGUAAGCUAUCACUGAAGGAGGGGAUUGCGUCUGAUUAGCUAGUUGGAGGGGUAACGGCCCACCAAGGCGAUGAUCAGUAGCCGGUCUGAGAGGAUGAACGGCCACAUUGGGACUGAGACACGGCCCAGACUCCUACGGGAGGCAGCAGUGGGGAAUCUUCCGCAAUAGACGAAAGUCUGACGGAGCAACGCCGCGUGAGUGAUGACGGCCUUCGGGUUGUAAAGCUCUGUUAAUCGGGACGAAAGGCCUUCUUGCGAAUAGUUAGAAGGAUUGACGGUACCGGAAUAGAAAGCCACGGCUAACUACGUG